GACGUAGGGCGCGAGCGUUGUCCGGAAUUACUGGGCGUAAAGCGCACGUAGGCGGCUUUGUAAGUUAGAGGUGAAAGCCCAGGGCUUAACCCUGGAAUUGCCUUUAAGACUGCAUCGCUAGAAUUGUGGAGAGGUAAGUGGAAUUCCGAGUGUAGAGGUGAAAUUCGUAGAUAUUCGGAAGAACACCAGUGGCGAAGGCGACUUACUGGACACAUAUUGACGCUGAGGUGCGAAAGCGUGGGGAGCAAACAGG
rnacentral:rRNA from 1 species